AAUCAUUUGUUCUUUAAAUAAGGACCUGUAUGAACGGCUACAUGAGGAUUAACUUGUCUCUUACACCGAAUCGAUGAAACUGAUCCCCCAGUCCAAAAGCUGGGAUAUUAACAUAAGACGAGAAGACCCUGUGGAGCUUUAAACUGCCUACCACACAGUUUGACCUGGCAUGUUUUUAGUUGGGGCGACUUUGGAGACAAACAAAACAUCCAAACACAUUAACCCGAGGCUUACACGCCACCGCACCCCCUACCAGACCCAAUAAAAUUGAACAAUGGACCAAGUUACCCCAGGGAUAACAGCGCAAUCUUCUUCUAGAGUCCCUAUCGACAAGAAGGUUUACGACCUCGAUGUUGGAUCAGGAUAUCCAAAUAGUGCAGCCGCCAUUAAAGGUUCGUUUGUUCAACGAUUAAUAUCCUA
rnacentral:rRNA from 1 species